rnacentral:misc_RNA from 1 species
UACGGAGGGUGCAAGCGUUAUCCGGAUUUACUGGGUUUAAAGGGUGCGUAGGCGGGCCUUUAAGUCAGUGGUGAAAGCCUCGAGCUCAACUCGAGAAUUGCCAUUGAAACUGAAGGUCUUGAGUAUAGUUGAGGUGGGCGGAAUGUGUCAUGUAGCGGUGAAAUGCUCAGAUAUGACAUAGAACACCUAUUGCGAAGGCAGCUCACUAAACUAUUACUGACGCUGAGGCACGAAAGCGUGGGGAGCGAACAGG